rnacentral:rRNA from 1 species
UGAUGCGGUCAUACCAAGGCUACUACACCAGAUCCCAUCAGAACUCUGAAGUUAAGCGCCUUUGGGCCGGAAUAGUACUGGGAUGGGUGACC